rnacentral:rRNA from 1 species
AGCAGCCGCGGUAAUUCCAGCUCCAAUAGCGUAUAUUAAAGUUGUUGCAGUUAAAAAGCUCGUAGUUGAAUUUCGGGAUUGGCGCAUCGGUCGUGCCUUACGGGGUAUGAACUGGUGCAGUCAAUUUCUCACCUUCUGGAGAACCGCGAUGUCCUUAAUUGGGUGCCGCGGGGAACCAGGACCUUUACUUUGAAAAAUUAGAGUGUUUAAAGCAGGCAUUUUUGCUUGAAUACAUUAGCAUGGAAUAAUAAAAUAGGACGGCAUGGUUCUAUUUUGUUGGUUUCUAGGACCACCGUAAUGAUUAAUAGGGAUAGUUGGGGGCAUUAGUAUUCAACUGUCAGAGGUGAAAUUCUUGGAUUUAUUGAAGACUAACUACUGCGAAAGCAUUUGCCAAGGAUGUUUUCAUUAAUCAAGAACGAAAGUUAGGGGAUCGAAGACGAUCAGAUACCG